rnacentral:misc_RNA from 1 species
CAGAGUCAUCCAACUCCCAAACCCAUGUGAACUUAUCUCUUUGUUGCCUCGGCGCAAGCUACCCGGGACCUCGCGCCCCGGGCGGCCCGCCGGCGGACAAACCAAAACUCUUGUUAUCUUAGUUGAUUAUCUGAGUGUCUUAUUUAAUAAGUCA